UGCGCAGGCGGAAUGAUUAGUCAGUGGUGAAAGCCCUCGGCUCAACCGAGGAACUGCCAUUGAUACUGUCAUUCUUGAGUACAGUUGUAGUGGGCGGAAUGUGUCAUGUAGCGGUGAAAUGCAUAGAGAUGACACAGAACACCGAUCGCGAAGGCAGCUCACUAAGCUGAAACUGACGCUCAGGCACGAAAGCGUGGGUAGCUAACAGGAUUAGAUACCCUGGUAGUCC
rnacentral:rRNA from 1 species